rnacentral:rRNA from 1 species
UACGUAGGGCGCAAGCGUUGUCCGGAAUUAUUGGGCGUAAAGAGCUCGUAGGCGGUUUGUCGCGUCUGUCGUGAAAGCCCACGGCUUAACUGUGGGUCUGCGGUGGAUACGGGCAGACUAGAGGCAGGUAGGGGAGAAUGGAAUUCCCGGUGUAGCGGUGAAAUGCGCAGAUAUCGGGAGGAACACCGGUGGCGAAGGCGGUUCUCUGGGCCUGUACUGACGCUGAGACGCGAAAGCGUGGGGAGCGAACAGG